rnacentral:tRNA from 1 species
GGAAGUGCGCAGCUACCUGGUGGGGCUCCCGGGCUUCAAACCCGGUGUGGGGCGUUAACACCGUCCCGGGUGGGUUCGAUUCCCAUGCACUUCCGCCA